rnacentral:rRNA from 1 species
AAUCAUGGCUCAGGAUGAACGCUAGCGGCAGGCCUAACACAUGCAAGUCGAGGGGCAUCACGAGGUAGCAAUACUUUGGUGGCGACCGGCGCACGGGUGCGUAACGCGUAUGUAACCUACCUAUAACAGGGGCAUAACACUGAGAAAUUGGUACUAAUUCCCCAUAAUAUUCGGAGAGGCAUCUCUCCGGGUUGAAAACUCCGGUGGUUAUAGAUGGACAUGCGUUGUAUUAGCUAGUUGGUG